UUUCUUUAGUGACUACAUGCUGGUGUGGAAUAAAUAACUUUUUUCAAAGCAAUGUUGAAACACUUUUGCUCAAGGUAGCAAAUUUUUAGGAAGGAAGAAGUUCACAUUAAGUGUGGGAACCAGAGCACUUGAUUUCACCUCAAAAUGUAAGCAACUUACGUUUUCAUUCUAAGUAAAAGAAACAGAAUGUGUUUGAUGUUCGCUGUCUUAGUUUUCCCAGCCCAACAGUUUCCCCACAUCUGGCAUUUUGGUGGCCACACCUGGGGUAUCAUAAAACUGAAAACAGAUGUCUGGGCUCCUAGAAAGCAGAAGUAAGUGUCAGAUCCAAUCAGAGAAGCAAUGGGAACAUCAUAGGGUGAAGCAUGUGUUUAACCGCAAGGUGCCAGAUCUGAUCAAGGGAUGCUGCUGACUAUGAGAAGCCACAAACGAGUAGGUGGGGAAGGAGGACAGGCGGAGGAGAAAAGAGCUGGAGAUUUGCCCCAUGAACACACAAUUCCGGUAGAGAGCCACAAGGCCUGGGAGUUCAGCGAGACGCAAAGCAAGCACAAGUUCUUCCUCACUCAUCAGCAAGCUGAAGACAGUGCUGGUAUAAUGUGUGCAUAACAAGAAGUGAAAUAAAAACAGCUGAGUUUGUUUUGUACAGUGUUUCCAUUGUUCCGG